rnacentral:rRNA from 1 species
GAUGAACGCUGGCGGCGUGCUUAACACAUGCAAGUCGAACGGGGUUAUUCUUUUAGUUUACUAGAGGGGUAACUUAGUGGCGGACGGGUGAGUAACGCGUGAGGACCUGUCCUUUGCAGGGGGACAACAGUUGGAAACGGCUGCUAAUACCGCAUGAGCGCUUCGGCGUGAAAGGAGCAAUCCGGCAAGGGAGGGACUCGCGUCCUAUUAGCUAGUUGGUGGGGUAAGGGCCUACCAAGGCGAUGACGGGUAGCCGGCCUGAGAGGGCGCACGGCCACACUGGGACUGAGAUACGGCCCAGACUCCUACGGGAGGCAGCAGUGGGGAAUAUUGGGCAAUGGGGGCAACCCUGACCCAGCGACGCCGCGUGAGUGAAGAAGUCUUUCGGGACGUAAAGCUCUUUUGUACGGGAAGAAGACGAUGACGGUACCGUACGAAUAAGCCCCGGCAAACUACGUGCCAGCCGCCGCGGUAA